UACGUAGGUCCCGAGCGUUGUCCGGAUUUAUUGGGCGUAAAGCGAGCGCAGGUGGUUUAUUAAGUCUGGGGUAAAAGGCAGUGGCUCAACCAUUGUAUGCAUUGGAAACUGGUAGACUUGAGUGCAGGAGAGGAGAGUGGAAUUCCAUGUGUAGCGGUGAAAUGCGUAGAUAUAUGGAGGAACACCGGUGGCGAAAGCGGCUCUCUGGCCUGUAACUGACACUGAGGCUCGAAAGCGUGGGGAGCAAACAGG
rnacentral:rRNA from 1 species